AAAAUUAUUCAAUGGUAAUAUCUUACCGAAAUAGUGACAAAAAAUACCGAUGUUCUUCAUUUUAUGUUGAACAAUUGGAAUGGACACAAUCCAAACCUCUUAGUGAGUAACAAUUAGAGGGCAAGUCUGGUGCCAGCAGCCGCGAUAAUUCCAGCUCUAAUAGCGUAUAUUAAUACUGUUGCAGUUAAAACGCUCGUAGUUGAACUUUGAAUUAUUACAGAUUGUUUUACUUGAUUGUAAAAUGUCUGCUUAAUUCUUAUCUACUGGAUACUCUACUUUGUACUUAAUUGUAUGAGGUAUCGUCUAGCCAGCGGAAUUGUGGUUAAUUAACUCCUAUCAUUGUAUCAAAGUGUAAAAGCUUGAAGUAUAAUAAUGGGAUCAAGUUAAUUAAUUAUAAUGGGGUGCCAGUUAAUUUACUUUGAGUAAAUUAGAGUGUUCAAAGCAGCCUCUUGGGGCUUUGAAUAGUUUAGCAUGGGAUAAUAAAAUAGGAUUGGAUUCCUAUUUGUUGGUUUGAUGAAUCCAAUAAUGAUUAAGAGGGACAGUUGGGGGCACUCAUAUUAAGUGGUUAGCGGUGAAAUGUGUUGACCCACUUAAGAUGAACUAAAGCGAAAGCAUUUGCCAAGGAUGUUUUCAUUAAUCAAGAACGAAAGUUAAGGGAUCGAAGACGAUUAGAUACCGUCGUAGUCUUAACUAUAAACUAUGCCGACCAGGGAUAUGAGUAGUUUAUUUCUAAUCACUUCAAGUGAUUAGAUACUUCUCCUUAUGCACCUUGUGAGAAAUCAUAAGUUUUUGGGUUCUGGGGGAAGUAUGGUCGCAAGGCUGAAACUUAAAGGAAUUGACGGAGGGGCACCACCAGGAGUGGAGCGUGCGGCUUAAUUUGACUCAACACGGGAAAACUUGCCAGGUCCAGACAUUGAAG
rnacentral:rRNA from 1 species